rnacentral:rRNA from 1 species
GAUGAACGCUAGCUACAGGCUUAACACAUGCAAGUCGAGGGGAAACGGCAUCGAAAGCUUGCUUUUGAUGGGCGUCGACCGGCGCACGGGUGAGUAACGCGUAUCCAACCCGCCCAUCACUUGGGAAUAACCUUGCGAAAGUAAGACUAAUGCCCAAUGACAUCCCACGAAGGCAUCCGAAUGGGAUUAAAGAUUUAUCGGUGAUGGAUGGGGAUGCGUCUGAUUAGCUUGUUGGCGGGGUGACGGCCCACCAAGGCAACGAUCAGUAGGGGUUCUGAGAGGAAGGUCCCCCACAUUGGAACUGAGACACGGUCCAAACUCCUACGGGAGGCAGCAGUGAGGAAUAUUGGUCAAUGGGCGAGAGCCUGAACCAGCCAAGUAGCGUGCAGGAUGACGGCCCUAUGGGUUGUAAACUGCUUUUAUAAGGGAAUAAAGUGGGUCACGUGUGACUUUUUGCAUGUACCUUAUGAAUAAGGACCGGCUAAUUCCGUG